rnacentral:rRNA from 1 species
UACAGAGGUCUCAAGCGUUGUUCGGAUUCAUUGGGCGUAAAGGGUGCGUAGGCGGCGCGGUAAGUCGGGUGUGAAAUCUCGGGGCUUAACUCCGAAACUGCAUUCGAUACUGCCGUGCUUGAGGACUGGAGAGGAGACUGGAAUUUACGGUGUAGCGGUGAAAUGCGUAGAUAUCGUAAGGAAGACCAGUGGCGAAGGCGGGUCUCUGGACAGUUCCUGACGCUGAGGCACGAAAGCGUGGGGGAGCGAACAGG